CACCUCUCAGGAUCACAUCUGGAGAGUUUCCAAUACUCAACCAGUCUCGGCGAUGGGAGGAAAAGCCAAGCAGAGGGCCUACCCAUUCCAUUCCUAGCUUGGGCAGUGGCUAGCAAGUGGAAGGCAAUCUGCUACAAGU
rnacentral:snoRNA from 1 species